AUUGAACGCUGGCGGCAGGCCUAACACAUGCAAGUCGAACGAGUGGCGGACGGGUGAGUAAUGUCUGGGAAACUGCACGAUGGAGGGGGAUAACUACUGGAAACGGUAGCUAAUACCGCAUACCAUCGGAUGUGCCCAGAUGGGAUUAGCUAGAAGGUGGGGUAAUGGCUCACCUAGGCGACGAUCCCUAGCUGGUCUGAGAGGAUGACCAGCCACACUGAAUCUGAGACACGGGCCAGACUCCUACGGGAGGCAGUAGUGGGGAAUAUUGCACAAGGGGCGCAAGCCUGAUGCAGCCAGGCCGCAUGUAUGAAGAGGGCCUUCGGGUUAUAAAGUACUUUCAGCGAGGAGGCGUUACUCGCAGAAGAAGCACCGGCUAACUCCGUGCGAGCAGGCGCGGUAAUUC
rnacentral:rRNA from 1 species